CCCUCUAAAGCCCUGCAGCUCAGGGUCCUUUCCCAACUGCAGGGCAUUGGACGAGC
ensembl:miRNA